rnacentral:lncRNA from 1 species
AACUGCUUGGAGCAUGUUCGAGACCGAUGGCCACGGGAGGGUGUCCUGCGGGUGGAGGUGCGCCACAACUCCAGCCGGGCACCGGUGAUCCUGCAGUUCUGUGAUGGGGGCCUCGGUGGCCUAGACCUGGAGCCCGGGGGCCUGGAGCUGGAGGAGGAGGAGCUUUCCGUGGAGAUGUUCACCAACAGCUCCAUCAAGUUUGAGCUGGACAUUGAGCCCAAGGUGUUCAAGCCACCAGGGGGCGCCGAUGCCCUGAAUGACAGCCAGGACUUCCCUUUCCCAGAGACACCAGCCAAAGCGUGGCCACAGGAUGAGUACAUUGUGGAGUACUCGCUGGAAUAUGGCUUCCUGCGACUGUCGCAAGCCACGCGCCAGCGCCUGAGCAUCCCUGUCAUGGUAGUCACCCUAGACCCCACGCGGGAGCAGUGCUUCGGGGACCGCUUCAGCCGCCUGCUGCUGGACGAGUUCCUGGGCUACGACGACGUCCUCAUGUCUAGUGUGAAGGGCCUGGCAGAGAAUGAGGAGAACAAAGGCUUCUUGAGGAAUGUGGUCUCUGGGGAGCACUACCGCUUUGUCAGCAUGUGGAUGGCACGCACAUCCUACCUGGCAGCCUUUGUCAUCAUGGUCAUCUUUACCCUCAGUGUGUCCAUGCUGUUGCGAUACUCGCACCACCAGAUCUUCGUCUUCAUCGUGGACCUGCUGCAGAUGCUGGAGAUGAACAUGGCCAUCGCCUUCCCCGCAGCGCCCUUGCUGACCGUCAUCCUGGCUCUCGUCGGGAUGGAGGCCAUCAUGUCUGAGUUCUUCAACGACACCACCACGGCCUUCUACAUCAUCCUCAUCGUGUGGCUGGCCGACCAGUACGAUGCCAUCUGCUGCCACACCAACACCAGCAAGCGACACUGGCUGAGGUUCUUCUACCUCUACCACUUCGCCUUCUACGCCUACCACUACCGCUUUAACGGCCAGUACAGCAGCUUGGCCCUGGUCACGUCCUGGCUCUUCAUCCAGCAUUCCAUGAUCUACUUCUUCCACCACUAUGAGUUGCCCGCCAUCCUGCAGCAGAUCCGAAUCCAGGAGAUGCUGUUGCAGACACCCCCGCUGGGCCCUGGGACCCCCACGGCGCUGCCUGACGACCUCAACAAUAACUCUGGCUCCCCUGCCACCCCAGAUCCCAGUCCUCCCCUCGCGCUGGGCCCCAGCUCCAGCCCCGCGCCCACUGGCGGAGCAUCUGGGCCUGGCUCACUGGGCGCUGGGGCCUCAGUAUCUGGCAGUGACCUAGGUUGGGUGGCCGAGAC